AUUGAACGCUGGCGGCAGGCCUAACACAUGCAAGUCGAACGAGUGGCGGACGGGUGAGUAAUGUCUGGGAAACUGCCUGAUGGAGGGGGAUAACUACUGGAAACGGUAGCUAAUACCGCAUACCAUUAGCUGUGCCCCGGUGGGAUUAGCUUGUUGGUGGGGUAACGGCGAACCAAGGCGACGAUCCCUAGCUGGUCUGAGAGGAUGACCAGCCACACUGGAACUGAGACACGGUCCAGACUCGUACGGGAGGCAGCAGUGGGGAAUAGUGCACAAUGGGCGCAAGCCUGAUGAAGCCAUGCCGCGUGUAUGAAGAAGGCCUUCGGGUUGUAAAGUACUUUCAGCGGGGAGGCGUUACCCGCAGAAGAAGCACCGGCUAACUCCGUGCCAGCAGCCGCGGUAAUAC
rnacentral:rRNA from 1 species